CCCAGACUCCUACGGGAGGCAGCAGUGGGGAAUAUUGGGCAAUGGGCGCAAGCCUGACCCAGCAACGCCGCGUGAAGGAAGAAGGCUUUCGGGUUGUAAACUUCUUUUGUCAGGGACGAGGCAAGUGACGGUACCUGACGAAUAAGCCACGGCUAACUACGUGCCAGCAGCCGCGGUAAUACGUAGGUGGCAAGCGUUAUCCGGAUUUAUUGGGUGUAAAGGGCGUGUAGGCGGGAAUGCAAGUCAGAUGUGAAAACUAUGGGCUCAACCCAUAGCCUGCAUUUGAAACUGUAUUUCUUGAGUGCUGGAGAGGCAAUCGGAAUUCCGUGUGUAGCGGUGAAAUGCGUAGAUAUUAGGAGGAACACCAGUGGCGAAGGCGGUCUGCUGGACAGCAACUGACGCUGAGGCGCGAAAGCGUGGGGAGCAAACAGGAUUAGAUCCCCGAGUA
rnacentral:rRNA from 1 species